rnacentral:rRNA from 1 species
AGAUAGGGUUUCCCUUCGGGGCACCGGUGACAGGUGGUGCAUGGUUGUCGUCAGCUCGUGUCGUGAGAUGUUGGGUUAAGUCCCGCAACGAGCGCAACCCUUACUGUUAGUUGCUACGCAAGAGCACUCUGGCAGGACCGCCGUUGACAAAACGGAGGAAGGUGGGGAUGAUGUCAAAUCAUCAUGCCCCUUAUGACCUGGGCCUCACACGUACUACAAUGGCCGUUAACAGAGGGAAGCAAGACCGCGAGGUGGAGCAAAACCCCAAAAACGGUCUCAGUUCGGAUCGUAGGCUGCAACCCGCCUGCGUGAAGUUGGAAUUGCUAGUAAUCGCGGAUCAGCAUGCCGCGGUGAAUACGUUCCCGGGCCUUGUACACACCGCCCGUCACACCAUGGGAGCCGGUAAUACCCGAAGUCAGUAGCCUAACCGCAAGGAGGGCGCUGCCGAAGGUAGGAUUGGCGACUGGGGUGAAGUCGUAACAAGGUAGCCGUAUCGGAAGGUGCGGCUGGAUCACCUCCUU